GAUUUCUUCUCCAUAAAAUCAAGACAAUUUGACAAAUAAAAAAUGGCAGGGCUCUUGCUUGACAGAUAUCACACUAUGAUUGUAUCCAGCAAACAAGGCCACAGAUCAGAUCUACAACCAAGCUCCAUCACAUCAAUGCAGAGAGAAAAGUGGAAUAUGCAAAGGAAAUAAAAUUGCCAUUGUCCUGAUAAAAUAGGAAUGCGACCAAAACCAUGAGUUGGUCUGCGUCAAUACUAGGGCCAUACCUGGAUAGUGGUCAGUUCAUAUUUACACCCAAUUGCCAGAACUAAGUUCCAUGCAUGCUACAUGUUCAAACAAAUGGAUUACAAAUUGGGC
rnacentral:misc_RNA from 1 species